AUUACUUUGGCAGAUUAGUGCAAUAAAUUUAGAAUUUAUGUAUGUAAAAUUUUUUACAGGUAAUA
rnacentral:tRNA from 1 species